AAAAUUUACAUUAAGGUGGUACCUAACACUACAAGGAGAUAACUCUGUAAAAUCAGCUAAACGUUUUAAUUACGUUGUGUUGAAAAGGGAAUAUUAAGCUUCUCAAUGAUCAAAAUAAGUGUUUGUCAAACUGCUAUAUAACCAGUGUAAUUUCUCUGACAAAAUGGUCGGUUCAAAUUUUUUGAAAUUUUUAUAUUUUUGUCA
rnacentral:lncRNA from 1 species